rnacentral:sRNA from 1 species
GUUUAUAUGAACAGUCGAAUUGACUUCUGCACUCCUUUGUUGAAGGAAAUGGUUAGACGUUGGGUUAGCCGCAACGAAUCUUUUGUUUUGAAGCAAAGAAUGAUACCAUUUACAAUCGUCGAUGUUUGCAUGGGUUUAGGGUUGGGUGUUGGUGGUUUAGAUGUAAAUUUUAAAGAUAACUUUGAUGCUGUUGUUUGUCAUCAAUUUUCGUCAAAGUCAUUCACUCUAAAAGAUGUCAUACAUAGGAUAAAGUUGUUAAUACAAAAUAAUGACACGGAUGAUGAUUGUGUUUGUCGUUUGUAUAUUUUAGUUUGUUUUAUUGUUUUCUACUUUCCUAGACAUUCAAAGGCAGUUAGUAACAUGUCUUUUACAGUAUUAGAUAACAUUGAUAAUUUGUACGAAUAUAAUUGGGCAAAAGCUGUGCAUACAUUUGUGAUAAAUAGUUUAGGAAAUGCGUCAAGGAAGAUAAGGCAACGUGACAUAAGGGACCUAGGUCUUAGUGGGAAUGUUGCAGUGUUGGAGGUAUGGGCGGUUGAACGUUUG